rnacentral:rRNA from 1 species
CCUACGGGAGGCAGCAGUGGGGAAUUUUGGACAAUGGGCGAAAGCCUGAUCCAGCAAUGCCGCGUGCAGGAAGAAGGCCUUCGGGUCGUAAACUGCUUUUGUACGGAACGAAACGGUCUGCUUUAAUACAGUGGGCUAAUGACGGUACCGUAAGAAUAAGCACCGGCUAACUACGUGCCAGCAGCCGCGGUAAUACGUAGGGUGCGAGCGUUAAUCGGAAUUACUGGGCGUAAAGCGUGCGCAGGCGGUUAUAUAAGACAGUUGUGAAAUCCCCGGGCUCAACCUGGGAAUUGCAUCUGUGACUGUAUAGCUAGAGUACGGUAGAGGGGGAUGGAAUUCCGCGUGUAGCAGUGAAAUGCGUAGAUAUGCGGAGGAACACCGAUGGCGAAGGCAAUCCCCUGGACCUGUACUGACGCUCAUGCACGAAAGCGUGGGGAGCAAACAGGAUUAGAUACCCUGGUAGUCCACGCCCUAAACGAUGUCAACUGGUUGUUGGGUGCAUUAGUACUCAGUAACGGAGCUAACGCGUGAAGUUGACCGCCUGGGGAGUACGGCCGCAAGGUUGAACGUUAAAUGAAUUGACGG